GACGAACGCUGGCGGCGUGCCUAAUACAUGCAAGUAGAACGCUGAAGAGAGGAGCUUGCUCUUCUUGGAUGAGUUGCGAACGGGUGAGUAACGCGUAGGUAACCUGCCUUGUAGCGGGGGAUAACUAUUGGAAACGAUAGCUAAUACCGCAUAACAAUGGAUGACACAUGUCAUUUAUUUGAAAGGGGCAAUUGCUCCACUACAAGAUGGACCUGCGUUGUAUUAGCUAGUAGGUGAGGUAAUGGCUCACCUAGGCGACGAUACAUAGCCGACCUGAGAGGGUGAUCGGCCACCCGGGGAUUGUGACACGGCCCAGACUCCUAGGGGAGGCAGCAGUAGGGAAACUUCGGCAAUGGGGGCAACCCUGACCGAGCAACGCCGCGUGAGUGAAGAAGGUUUUCGGAUCGUAAAGCUCUGUUGUAAGUCAAGAAAGGGUGUGAGAGUGGAAAGUUCACACUGUGACGGUAGCUUACCAGAAAGGGACGGCUAACUACGUG
rnacentral:rRNA from 1 species